rnacentral:rRNA from 1 species
AUUGAAUGCUGGCGGCAUGCUUUACACAUGCAAGUCGAACGGCAGCGCGGGCUUCGGCCUGGCGGCGAGUGGCGAACGGGUGAGUAAUGCAUCGGAACGUGCCCAGUAGUGGGGGAUAGCCCGGCGAAAGCCGGAUUAAUACCGCAUACGACCUGAGGGUGAAAGCGGGGGACCGAAAGGCCUCGCGCUAUUGGAGCGGCCGAUGUCGGAUUAGCUAGUUGGUGGGGUAAAGGCUUACCAAGGCGACGAUCCGUAGCUGGUCUGAGAGGACGACCAGCCACACUGGGACUGAGACACGGCCCAGACUCCUACGGGAGGCAGCAGUGGGGAAUUUUGGACAAUGGGGGCAACCCUGAUCCAGCCAUGCCGCGUGCGGGAAGAAGGCCUUCGGGUUGUAAACCGCUUUUGUUCGGGAAGAAAUCCUCUGGGCUAAUACCCCGGGGGGAUGACGGUACCGGAAGAAUAAGCACCGGCUAACUACGU